CCUACGGGAGGCAGCAGUGGGGAAUUUUGGACAAUGGGCGAAAGCCUGAUCCAGCAAUGCCGCGUGAGUGAAGAAGGCCUUCGGGUUGUAAAGCUCUUUUGUCAGGGAAGAAACGGUGAGAGCUAAUAUCUCUUGCUAAUGACGGUACCUGAAGAAUAAGCACCGGCUAACUACGUGCCAGCAGCCGCGGUAAUACGUAGGGUGCAAGCGUUAAUCGGAAUUACUGGGCGUAAAGCGUGCGCAGGCGGUUUUGUAAGUCUGAUGUGAAAUCCCCGGGCUCAACCUGGGAAUUGCAUUGGAGACUGCAAGGCUAGAAUCUGGCAGAGGGGGGUAGAAUUCCACGUGUAGCAGUGAAAUGCGUAGAUAUGUGGAGGAACACCGAUGGCGAAGGCAGCCCCCUGGGUCAAGAUUGACGCUCAUGCACGAAAGCGUGGGGAGCAAACAGGAUUAGAUACCCUGGUAGUCCACGCCCUAAACGAUGUCUACUAGUUGUCGGGUCUUAAUUGACUUGGUAACGCAGCUAACGCGUGAAGUAGACCGCCUGGGGAGUUCGGUUGCAAGNUUAAACGUUAAUUGAUUGACGG
rnacentral:rRNA from 1 species